GACGAACGCUGGCGGCGUGCUUAACACAUGCAAGUCGAACGGAAAGGCCCUGCUUUUGUGGGGUGCUCGAGUGGCGAACGGGUGAGUAACACGUGAGUAACCUGCCCUUGACUUUGGGAUAACUUCAGGAAACUGGGGCUAAUACCGGAUAGGAGCUCCUGCUGCAUGGUGGGGGUUGGAAAGUUUCGGCGGUUGGGGAUGGACUCGCGGCUUAUCAGCUUGUUGGUGGGGUAGUGGCUUACCAAGGCUUUGACGGGUAGCCGGCCUGAGAGGGUGACCGGCCACAUUGGGACUGAGAUACGGCCCAGACUCCUACGGGAGGCAGCAGUGGGGAAUAUUGCACAAUGGGCGGAAGCCUGAUGCAGCAACGCCGCGUGCGGGAAAACGGCCUUAGGGUUGUAAACCGCUUUCGCCUGUGACGAAGCGUGAGUGACGGUAAUGGGUAAAGAAGCACCGGCUAACUACGUG
rnacentral:rRNA from 1 species